AAGGGCUGUCCUGCCAGAGUUAAUUUCAAGUGUCUCCCUGCCCCAGUGGAGAUUGCUUCAGAAGCCGAGAUCAAAAGGGGUUUUGAAGUAGCAGAGAGCAUUUUGAAGGCACAAAAGUGACUUUGAGGCUGAGGGAAGGAUGCCCAAAGGAAACAACGGGAAGGCUCAGAGAAGUGUGUGGUGAAAGUCUGCAGUGACCACCAGGCUUUCAAAUGGAAGAAUUAGAGGAGCAAAGAACAGCUUCAAAAGAGAUGAUGAAGAAGACAGUGAGCCAACCCUGGCAAUGCCUCCAUCCCUCCAGUCUGGAUCCCAACAUAUUUAAAAUGGAAAAAAGCAACCCAGGAGAUCCUCAUCACAAAUCUAUGUGGCCUAUGACUGUGAUCAUGGAUUGAUGCCACCUUUGUGAAGAGCUACAGGUGGUAACAGAGCAUUCUCCCCAGCAGACUCCAAGUGUGACUUUUGAAGGACAGCUGUGUUUUGGUAUGCAUAUGGCUUCAAAAAUGUUCAUUCAAUGGAGUUGCCUUUAAAUGCCAACUGAAUCAAAAUUGUUUCCUCCACCCCAUAUUCACUUUGUAUCAGUGUUCUGCCACUGUGGAGAUGUCCUAUAUGUAGCACUUAGGUAUUUUCUAGAUUGUCUCCUCUCCUAUACACCACCCCAUAUUUGCAACCAAGUGAGAUGCCCACAGUGGCCGAUGGUGCGAUAUGGAGCAAGAGGCACUCUCUAUAGUGGCACUCUGACUGUGGAAUACACAGAUUUGAUUGAUGCCAACCCUUAUGGGUUUUAGGCCUCUGGUACAGACAUAUUUAUUUACUUAGAGAUUUGAUUAAGUUGCCUGUAAAUUGCUUUGUCACUCCCAUGGUGCUGUGAUGCAAUAUGGCAUGGUUGUCAGAUUUCGCUUUAUUUUUAUUAUGUGCUCUGUAUUUUUUUUCAUUGUAUCUUGAUCUCGAAUUGAUUUUAAUAAACGAUGUUCAACACAA